UAGAAGAUGGCGACCGGCGCACGGGUGAGUAACACGUAUCCAACCUGCCGAUAACUCGGGGAUAGCCUUUCGAAAGAAAGAUUAAUACCCGAUGGUAUAAUAAAGCCGCAUGGUUUAAUUAUUAAAGAAUUUCGGUUAUCGAUGGGGAUGCGUUCCAUUAGGCAGUUGGUGAGGUAACGGCUCACCAAACCUUCGAUGGAUAGGGGUUCUGAGAGGAAGGUCCCCCACAUUGGAACUGAGACACGGUCCAA
rnacentral:rRNA from 1 species